UCAACCCUAAUUGCGCGAUACAGCAACUUAUCAUGACGAAUAAGUUAAUCAAUUCAAUUCGAAUCAAUAGCGUUACCGAUAACAAUAAUCUUCUAACAAUAAACGGUAAUUCCAGAUGCUUAAAUCAAGAUAUAUAUAUACGCCAUAGAUAACGAUUUAACUUUGAAAGAUUAUCGGUGUUUAAAUACAAAUUCUUUGUGCACCAAGUUUAUUUCAAGUUUUGGAACUUUAUGAAUACGGAUUGUUGGGAACCACGCAUUAAUUCGAUAGAACCGGAAUAGAAAUUUGAAAAUGCCGUGGGGUAAAGACAGCUCGGGGCCGAGCUGGAACUCAAGCUGGUCAUCGCAUUGGGAUGGUAGUGAAAGUUCGCACAGAAGGACGCCAGAAGGACAGCAUGUGCCCACCUGCCGAAAAAACGGAGGCACGGGCUGGGGCUGGGGUGGUAAAGCCCCUUAUCUCGAGCACUGCCCGGGUUGUCGGGCCGAGAGGUCGGGUUCCAGGUUCGGCGGUUCGAAAAGGAGCGGUGUAGCAGAUAUCGCGCGGCUGAUAUUUAGAUAAACAGUGAUUGGAAAAAAAUGGACGGCCGGUUCUUGGGAACCGACGUAUCGUUUUAUUGAUGCGUCGAUUCUAAAUAUACAUUCGUUUUUGCGGUUUAUUCAACAUAACGAACUAUGUUAAAACAAACGCAGUAAUGUGUUACUAACAUUCCGAAUAAUUGAUGCUUUGUUUCUAAAAAUAAAAUGACUAUACUCAUGUCUAUAUUUAUGUGGUAGGUCAAAUUACAUGAACGAUUUGAAAUCAUUCAUAAAGAUCAAUUUCCAUAUUCUGAAUCAUUCACGGCUAUUAUAACAUGUAUGUUGGUUUUCAGGAAAACGUUUAUACGCAUCCUUGUUUAGAAUGUAUGUACCGGUACAUGCAAUGUGCAUAUUCAAAAUAAAGUCAUUUAUAAUGACA